GCCGAAGUGGCGGAAUUGGCAGACGCGCUAGACUCAAAAUCUGGUGCCCGCAAGGGCGUGUGGGUUCGACUCCCACCUUCGGCACCA
rnacentral:tRNA from 1 species